GGGGUUGUGGCUCAGUGGUAGAGCACUCGCCUGGCAUGCAUGAGGCACUGGGUUUGAUCCUCAGCACCA
rnacentral:tRNA from 1 species